GGUGGCCUAGUGGUUAGAGCAUCCGCCUCGGAUGCGGGAGGUAAUGGGUUUGAUCCCCGGUAGAAUCA